CAUAUGUGGACGCAUCAAACUCUUGUGGACUUUAUCUCAAGAAUGUCGCUGUCUCUGGGAAUUAUGUUUUGGAAAAAGCAGAAUUUGCUGUGGCUGAUGAUCGUCUGUUGUGUUACGUGCCAGAUGACCUGUUCAAAAAUAAUGAUAAUCGGCGAGACUUUGACAGAUACAUGUUCCUGGAGCUUCAAUAGAUCAAACAGAUCUUAUCCAGCUAUAAACGUGACAUGUUCACCAGCGUAUGAAAUACUGAUCG